GACGACGCAACGCCGCGUGGAGGAUGAAGACCUUCGGGUCGUAAACUCCUUUCGACCGAGAUGAAUACUCACUGACCUAAUACGUUGGUGAGCUGACAGUAUCGAGGGAAGAAGCCCCGGCUAACUCCGUGCCAGCAGCCGCGGUAAUACGGGGGGGCAAGCGUUGUUCGGAAUUACUGGGCGUAAAGGGUUCGUAGGUGGCCUACUAAGUCAGACGUGAAAUCCCUCAGCUUAACUGGGGAACUGCGUCUGAGACUGGUGGGCUUGAGUGCAGGAGAGGAACGCGGAAUUCCAGGUGUAGCGGUGAAAUGCGUAGAUAUCUGGAGGAACACCGGUGGCGAAGGCGGCGUUCUGGACUGCUACUGACACUGAGGAACGAAAGCCAGGGGAGCAAACGGGAUUAGAUACCCCGGUAGUCCUGGCCCUAAACGAUGAAUGCUUGGUGUGGCGGGUAUCGAUCCCUGCCGUGCCGUAGUUAACGCGUUAAGCAUUCCGCCUGGGGAGUACGGUCGCAAGGCUG
rnacentral:rRNA from 1 species